CACCUGUGCACCCAAGGUUAAUGCUUCCCAUUCGGAGCCGUCUUGAGUUGAUCAAAGGGUUAUCACUCGAGGCUGAAGCGUUCCUUCUUUGACGUUUACACUACUGCCUGUCUAAUGCAUGUUUAAUACUCUAAGGAGUUAAAAAGUUAAUACAACUUUCAACAACGGAUCUCUUGGCUUUUGCAUCGAUGAAGAACGCCGCGAAAGUGCGAAACGUAAUGUGAAUUGCAGAAUUCAGUGAAUCAUCGAAUCUUUGAACGCACCUUGCACUCCUUGGUAUUCCGAGGAGUAUGCCUGUUUGAGUGUCGUGAACCUUCUCAAAUCCUUAUCAUUAAGUUGGUCAAGGGUUUGGACGUGGAUGUAUGCUAUGAUAUUCAGUUAUGAUAGCUCAUCUUAAAUACAUUAGCUGGUGAAUUCUCGCUCAGAGAGGAAUAACAGUGUGAUAAGAAACAUUUUGUAACUGUGUAACACUGUUGAUGCUCACUUGCGGAACACCGCUUCUAAUCGUCUGUCACUAGACACAUCACAUCAUGUCAUUUGACCUCAAAUCAGGUAGGACUACCCGCUGAACUUAAGCAUAUCAAUAAGCGGAGGA
rnacentral:rRNA from 1 species